rnacentral:rRNA from 1 species
UACGUAGGGGGCAAGCGUUGUCCGGAUUUAUUGGGCGUAAAGAGCGUGUAGGCGGCCAGACAGGUCCGUUGUGAAAACUCGAGGCUCAACCUCGAGAUGUCGAUGGAAACCGUCUGGCUAGAGUCCGGAAGAGGAGAGUGGAAUUCCUGGUGUAGCGGUGAAAUGCGCAGAUAUCAGGAGGAACACCAAUGGCGAAGGCAGCUCGCUGGGACGUGACUGACGCUGAGACGCGAAAGCGUGGGGAGCAAACAGG